UGAGUGGCGAACGGGUGAGUAACACGUGGGCAACCUGCCCAAAAGAGGGGGAUAACACUUGGAAACAGGUGCUAAUACCGCAUAACCAUAGUUACCGCAUGGUAGCUAUGUAAAAGGUGGCUAUGCUACCGCUUUUGGAUGGGCCCGCGGCGCAUUAGCUAGUUGGUGGGGUAAAGGCUUACCAAGGCAAUGAUGCGUAGCCGAACUGAGAGGUUGAUCGGCCACAUUGGGACUGAGACACGGCCCAAACUCCUACGGGAGGCAGCAGUAGGGAAUCUUCCACAAUGGGCGAAAGCCUGAUGGAGCAACGCCGCGUGGGUGAAGAAGGUCUUCGGAUCGUAAAACCCUGUUGUUAGAGAAGAAAGUGCGUGAGAGUAACUGUUCACGUUUCGACGGUAUCUAACCAGAAAGCCACGGCUAACUACGUGCCAGCAGCCGCGGUAAUACGUAGGUGGCAAGCGUUAUCCGGAUUUAUUGGGCGUAAAGGGAACGCAGGCGGUCUUUUAAGUCUGAUGUGAAAGCCUUCGGCUUAACCGGAGUAGUGCAUUGGAAACUGGGAGACUUGAGUGCAGAAGAGGAGAGUGGAACUCCAUGUGUAGCGGUGAAAUGCGUAGAUAUAUGGAAGAACACCAGUGGCGAAAGCGGCUCUCUGGUCUGUAACUGACGCUGAGGUUCGAAAGCGUGGGUAGCAAACAGGAUUAGAUACCCUGGUAGUCCACGCCGUAAACGAUGAAUGCUAAGUGUUGGAGGGUUUCCGCCCUUCAGUGCUGCAGCUAACGCAAUAAGCAUUCCGCCUGGGGAGUACGACCGCAAGGUUGAAACUCAAAGGAAUUGACGGGGGCCCGC
rnacentral:rRNA from 1 species